GUUACCAAGUAAAAUCCAUUGUUUUGUUGUCGGGUUUUACAUAAAUCUGCUCUCCUGCAUCCGUGCUCCUGGCCAAAGGGCUCAGGGAUUCGGUUUCACAGAAUCAUGGAAUUGUCGGGGCUGGAAGGGACUUGUGGAGAUCAUCCAGUUCAACCCUCUGCCAAGCAGGGGCACCUGGAGCAGGUGACACAGGAACGCGUCCAGGUGGGGUUGGAAUGUAUGCAGAGAGGAGACUCCACACCCUCCCUGGGCACCUGUUCAGUGCUCUGCCACCUUCACCGAAAAUCAGCUCUCCCUCCUGCUGGGGAAGCGCCGGUGAGCACAGGUGCCCUUCCAAGGGCUCCAGGCAGACCCAAAGGGAUGCAGGACACGACAUCCUCUCCCCACGCAGAGGGAUUUCCAGUGCAAUAUUGAUGUUCACCGUGGGCACAGCUCAUCAGGACCACUGACAUUCCUUUGCCCAGCCAGGACAGCCUGCCCAGGUGAAAGGGCUCCAAGCACCAAGACCCUACGGGGACUUCAGACGAGCAAACGCAGCCCCUUGCCAAAGUGCUUUGUGGGAAGGCCCUGUCAGAUGCACUGAUCAUCUGUUUCACCCCAUGCUUCUUCCGCAAGUUCUGCAUGUCCAUGGUGUCCGGAUGCUGAUGGGAACACCUGAUGGGAUCCAGCUGGUCAGCGGUGCUGCCACGCAUCCUGUUCCUCCUUCUCCUGCUCCUUCUGCUCUUUGGCUCUAUCGGAGGUUCCUCGGUGUCUGAGCUGUCAGAUGCAGAGCUCCUCUGCCUGGGCAGCCAGAAGAAGGCGAAGACCAUGAGGAGGACGUCAGCCAAGGCCCAGAACCACCAGUGCUGGCAGGCAGAGAGCAGCACGCUGUCCUGGCUGCUCUGCUCCAUCUCAUCUAGCAGCUGGAUCCUCCACUCCAUGUCCUCCACCUCCUCAAGCAGCCAAGCCAUCUGCUGCCUCUGCUGCUCCUCAUGCUGGUGCAGGAGCUCUUGAGUGGCCUCUUCUUUCUUGUCACCAACUCUCCCCACACACUGGAAGAUGCUCAGCAGCACCAGGAGGAAAACAAGAUUGGCAGACACGACCAGCACUCUCCAACCUCCUGCACGACAGACCAGCCCUUGCUGCAGGCUCAGUCUCCAGAUAAAUGAGACCAACGCAAGGACCCACUGCUCCCGAACCUCACCGGAAGAGAAGAGAGCGAGCUCUCUGAUCUCCAACUUAUUUACAACGCUGGUUUACAUCAAAAUCUUACGGAAUACUGGGAACAUGAGCACUUCCUUGGUUAUGAGCUGGUUACCAGGAAGGCCUAGACUAAAACCAUCCCAGUUUCCUACUCUGUAUCCUACACAA